CUCUAAUAUCAUUUUCGAUGUAUAGAAUUUAAGGAUUCUUGCCAAUAAAGUUAUUAGAUAUUAAAGAGGUUUGUUCCUUCCAUUAUGGUAAAAAUGAAUAAAAUAUUGUUGUGACCUUGGUAGGAUUAUCGAAAAGAG
rnacentral:ncRNA from 2 species